GGGCGUGUGGCUCAGUGGUAGAGCGUCCGCUUUGCAUAGUUUGUGUAUCUUGCGGAAGGUCCAGGUUUCGAUCACCUGCCCGUCCA